GACGAACGCUGGCGGCGUGCUUAACACAUGCAAGUCGAACGGAAAGGCCCUGCUUUUGUGGGGUGCUCGAGUGGCGAACGGGUGAGUAACACGUGAGUAACCUGCCCUUGACUUUGGGGUAACUUCAGGAAACUGGGGCUAAUACCGGAUAGGAGCUCCUGCUGCAUGGUGGGGGUUGGAAAGUUUCGGCGGUUGGGGAUGGACUCGCGGCUUAUCAGCUUGUUGGUGGGGUAGUGGCUUACCAAGGCUUUGACGGGUAGCCGGCCUGAGAGGGUGACCGGCCACAUUGGGACUGAGAUACGGCCCAGAAUCCUACGGGAGGCAGCAGUGGGGAAUAUUGCACAAUGGGCGGAAGCCUGAGGCAGCAACGCCGCGUGCGGGAUGACGGCCUUCGGGUUGUAAACCGCUUUCGCCUGUGACGAAGCGUGAGUGACGGUAAUGGGUAAAGAAGCACCGGCUAACUACGUG
rnacentral:rRNA from 1 species